rnacentral:rRNA from 1 species
GAUGAACGCUGGCGGCGUGCCUAAUACAUGCAAGUCGAGCGAACGGACGAGAAGCUUGCUUCUCUGAUGUUAGCGGCGGACGGGUGAGUAACACGUGGAUAACCUACCUAUAAGACUGGGAUAACUUCGGGAAACCGUAGCUAAUACCGGAUAAUAUUUUGAACCGCAUGGUUCAAAAGUGAAAGACGGUCUUGCUGUCACUUAUAGAUGGAUCCGCGCUGCAUUAGCUAGUUGGUAAGGUAACGGCUUACCAAGGCAACGAUGCAUAGCCGACCUGAGAGGGUGAUAGGCCACAAGGGAACGGAGACACGGACCAGAGUCAGACGGGAGGCAGCAGUGGGGAAUAUUUCGCAAUGGGCGAAAGUCUGACGGAGAAAAGCUGCGUGAGUGAUAUAUGUCUAAGGAUCGUAAAAAUCUGUGAUGAGGGAAAAACAUAUGUGUAAGUACCGGUGCCCGUCGGGACGGUACCUAAUCAGAAAGCCAGGGCUCGCUACGUU